rnacentral:ribozyme from 1 species
CUACGGACUUAAUUGGAUUGGAUGAGCCUUGGUAUGGAAACCAUACUAAGUGAUAACUUUCAAAUUCAGAGAAACCCUGGAAUGAACAGUGGGCAAUCCUGAGCCAAAUCCUAUUAUUUUACGAAAAUAAACAAACAAAGGUUCAGCAAGGGAGAAUAAAAAAAAAGGAUAGGUGCAGAGACUCAAUGGAAGCUAUUCUAACAAAUGGGGGUGACAU